GGGCGGAUGGCGGAAUUGGUAUACGCGCAUGCCUUAGGAGCAUGUGGGGAAACCCUUGGAGGUUCAAGUCCUCUUCCGCCCACCA
rnacentral:tRNA from 2 species